CAUGUACUGCAUAUCAACCAGGGAGCACCGCGGCAUGGCGGCUGGACCAUGACGGAGCCAAUGUGGCCGCCAACUAGCCCUGGCCCUGGGACCUUGAUGGACCCCGGCGUCCUCGGGGCCUGGACCAUCUGCAAGCGCCACGAGUUCAACCUGAAACCAGAUUGAGCAGGAGCAGCUCGUCGGCUGGUGGCGACUGGCGACCACAAAUGGCGCUCAAGCUAGUGUUGACGCCACACCACACGCCCUUACUGCUCAGGCCUCUCCGCCGCCCGGACUGAAAGCCGGGAGGCAUGCAAAUUACCCUUGCCCCACAAUGUAGCUGGCCAAUAAGCUGCGGCGCUCU